AUACUGGAAGUGUUUAGGAGUAA
rnacentral:miRNA from 1 species